rnacentral:lncRNA from 1 species
GAGCCACCAGCCCUCACGAGUGAUCCAUGGCCCGCUUCACACUUAGCCCAGCUGAAGUGCUACUGCCAAUUCACUCGACCGGCUGAAUCGAAACCGUACUCUACGAGUAUCUAUACUCGAGCGCUUUAAGCCUCUACAGCGUCUCACACGAAGCCUAGCAUCAGGCAACUUAGCCUAUGCACACCUACCACACAGGCAUAACUCAUCCACCUCAACUCGAGGUACUACUAGGCCAAUAGGCCAAACUCGGCACUAACCGACCAAUUUCACGACAGUGGUUCAUCUUCGCUGUUCGAUCUACCGAAUCC